GACGAACGCUGGCGGCGUGCCUAAUACAUGCAAGUCGAACGCAGUGGGGACGGGUGAGUAACACGUGGGUAACCUCCCAUCAGAGGGGAGAAAACUUGGAAACAGGUGCUAAACCGAUACUGAUGGAUGGACCAGGGGUGGAUUAGCUGGUGGGUGAGGUAACGGCUCACAAAGGCCACGUUGCAUAGCGGACCGGUGAGUGUGAUCGGCCACACUGGGACUGUGCCACGGCUCAGACUCAUACGGGAGGCAGCAGUAGGGAAUCUGCGGCAAUGGACGAAAGUCUGACCGAGAAACGCCGCGUGAUUGAAGAAGGUUUUCGGAUCGUAAAACUCUGUUGUUAGAGAAGCGGUAUCUAACCAGAAAGCCACGGCUAACUACGUGCCAGCCGCCGCGGUAAUAC
rnacentral:rRNA from 1 species